CGAAUUAGAGCUUGAUAAAGCAUUUUAUUUACAUUAAAAAGUUUAUUGUGAAAUCAAUAUGAUUCGA
rnacentral:tRNA from 1 species